rnacentral:lncRNA from 1 species
UCCAUAACUGCAUGGUAUGAGUCAUAGGUCUAAUCCCCAUGUAAUUUUCAUAAUUUUGUAUAUCCCUUUUAUUCUUAUAGAUUAGAACUAAAGUGUUUCUUCUCCAUUCAUUCAAAUUUUCUUUGAACUUAUAAUUUUGUUAAAGAGUUUGGUGAGCCACUCAAUACCUUUAUCUUCUAGAACUUUUUACACUUCAACAUGUGU